GUGCUCAAUUUGGGAGUACAUAUACUAAAAUUGGAACAAUACAGAAAAGAUCAACACAAACCCUGUGCAAGGGUGACACACAAAUUUGAGAUGUGUUCCAAAGAUUU
ensembl:snRNA U6 U6 spliceosomal RNA